rnacentral:rRNA from 1 species
GUGCCAGCAGCCGCGGUAAUACGUAGGGUGCAAGCGUUAAUCGGAAUUACUGGGCGUAAAGCGUGCGCAGGCGGUUUUGUAAGUCUGUCGUGAAAGCCCCGGGCUCAACCUGGGAAUUGCGAUGGAGACUGCAAGGCUUGAAUCUGGCAGAGGGGGGUAGAAUUCCACGUGUAGCAGUGAAAUGCGUAGAGAUGUGGAGGAACACCGAUGGCGAAGGCAGCCCCCUGGGUCAAGAUUGACGCUCAUGCACGUACGCGUGGGGAGCAAACAGGAUUAGA